GGGGGUGACUUGGCUUUGACGGAGAUUUCAAAGGCCGAGGUGCAUGUCGAGAGGGUGGUGACUCUCGUAAAUCAAACGCUGCAAUUUCAAUAGUUGCCAACGACGACAACUACGCUCUAGCGGCUUAAGACCGUUAGUUCCGGUCAGUUGAGUGCCCUUGUAGAUUGGCCGGAAUCGUUUUAAGGGAUCGCGAUUGAGGAAUGUUCCUAAAUCGAUCGUUAAAACUCUAGGAACUCGCUGGUUUGCAUCCUGCUCGUCGGGUCGCGAAUAAGUUAAAUCAAUAGGCGCAGCUAAACAUGUAGAGCCAGAGUUGGAGAGUCGACGGACGCGGGUUCGAAUCCCGCCACCUCCACCA
rnacentral:tmRNA from 1 species